AGAGCAUUGACCUGCUGAGUGGACUAAAGAUGGGGGAGCAAGGUGGUUGGCUGGAGGCUAACAGAGAAGACUGGGCGGCCAUCUUGGAUUCCCAGAACCAGGCCGGUGCAGCCAGGGGCCCGGGGGACAACAUCACCGAACAGGCAAGGACCAGAGGCGACAUAGUGGAGUCUGCAGUCCAUGAGGACCUGCUGAUAUCCGGUGUUGCUGGCGG